UCUCUGGUGGUCCAGUGGUUAGAACGCUGUGCUUUCACUGCUGGGGGCCUGGGUUCAAUCCCGGGUUAGGGAA
rnacentral:tRNA from 1 species